UUAAAAAACGUUGAAUGAAGAAAAGAGAAAAGAAGAAGAAAUUAAAUUCCAAGAAAUGAAGAAAAAGCAUGAAGAUCAUCCCAAAUUUAAUCAUACAGGAAGCAAAGAUCAACUCAAGGAGGUAUGGGAAAAAGCUGAUGAAUUGGAUCCUAAUGACUUCUACCCCAAGACAUUUUUCAAAUUAUAUGAUAUCAAUAAUGAUGGCUUCCUAGAUGAACAAGAAUUAGAAGCUCUAUUUAUUAAAGAGUUGGAGAAAGUAUAUGACCCCAAAAAUGAAGAGGAUGAUGUGGUAGAAAUGGAGGAAGAAAGGCUUCGAAUGGAGAACAUGUAAUGAAUGAAGUGGAUACUAGCAAAGACCGACUGGUGACUCUAGAAGAGUUUAUGAAAGCUACAGAGCAGAAGGAAUUCUUGGAGCCUGAUAGCUGGAAG